AGUCGUACCAAGGUUUCUGUAGGUAACCUGCAGAAGGAUCAUUA
rnacentral:rRNA from 1 species